AAAGUGGAAUCCACCACGACUGCCUGACUGCAUCCUCACAGUGGAGCCGCUUCUAGAGGGGAAUCACCUCCAAAAUCUUCCUGCCUCACGCUCACCUUCCAAACUGCUGCUGUUUCUCCCACGCUCUCCCAGGCUGGAAAGCGGUUUCCAUGCCAGCCAGGCAUCCAGGACAAUGGCAGACAUGGAGGAGGAGGAGGCUGGCUCCUUGCUGGGCUGGCUGGCAUCGGAUCCAUUUGGCACAGCGAGAAACAUCACCCUGAAGAUGCAGCUCAAACACGGCUGAACUCAGAGCCAAAGAGAAGCUGGGCACCACUGAUGAUGUUAUUCAUCACUGAAGGAUUAGUUUAAAGAAGAGUUCUGCAGAAAUGAAUAAACUUGACAGAGAA